rnacentral:miRNA from 2 species
UGUCCAUAGCACACGUGGAUG